rnacentral:misc_RNA from 1 species
CUUCUUUUUCUUCUUCUUCUUUUUGUUCUUUAUCUUUUCGUUGGCUGCUGCAGAUCUCUUCUUCUCAAUGUUAUCAAAAGCUCCCAACGGCAGGAAAGGCGCACCAAGGCGCAAGGUGCACCCGAUGAGUGCCCCAAGGAGUUAAGAUGCAGUAUAAAAAUUGGCUAGGAUUUUAAAAUUGCUCCAGCAGCCAAUAAAAAGAUGAAAAAGAAGAAGAAGAAGAGAUCUCCAGUAGCCAACGAAAAGAUAAAAAAGAAGAAGAAGAAGAGAAGGGAAAGGAGAGAUCAAACCUAGUAUGUUUUAUUUGUUCUGUUCUUCUUCUUUCUUUUUCUUCUUUAGCUCCAAUUGCCUCAAAUUUUGUUUUUCCAACCUUGCUCGCUCAAGCUUCAAGGCUUCCUUCCUCAUCUUCCGUUCGUUCUCCUUCUUUUCUGCAAGACGCUUUGCAGCCUCAGCAGCCUCCAAGGCCUUCACUUUAAUGUCCCGCUUUCCAGUGAUGACUGCAGCAGCUUGUUUCUGUUGCACGAAUGGAAUAAAGGAAGCAACAUUUGACACAAUAUUGGUACACUUAGACUCCUUCUCCUUCUCUGACAGACCCAGACCUCCUUUUACCAAAUCAGUUUUUCCAGAUAAUUUCAGCUUACUGAAUCUGCCAUGGAGUGAUCCAUUGCCUCGUUUGAGACCAUCUCCUUCUAGUGGUAAAUUCUGAUUCUCCUUGUCCUCGCUAGUAAAUCUUCUUUUGUUUUUGUUCUGGUUUCCCAACUUCUGUCUGGCCCUAUCACAAGUGCCACUGAAGCUGAAUUCUGUAUUCAAAGAAGCAAAACUAUGUCCAUCAUCAUUUAUCUCUGCUUCACAAACUGAUACUAAAGGAUUUGAAUUUUUUGUGAUGUCAGCAGGCGGCUCUCUUGUGACUGAGCUAAUCAUCACUUCUGGACCAACAACUUCCAGAAAUAUAUCAAUUACGCCUUCUGUAAUCUCACUUUCUUCACUGAUGCAGGGAAGCUCCGGAAUUGAGCUCACUCGCUUCCCAGAACUACUAGACUUUGGUGGGAUUCCAUCCCAAAGCUUCCCAACUGGAGACACACAAGGUUUCCUAAUGUCCCAGGCAGAUUGAGCAUUAGAAAUUGGCAGUGAGAGAGAAUGGGACCUUCCAUGAAGUGCAUGGUUGACUUCCUGGUUCAAGCAACUGAAACUGCUACCAAGUUGCUCAUUGUCACCAUUCAUAUGAAGGGUGCUCCUCAGUUCAAUGCUCUCUAAAAGCCCAUUAGGGAUGGACUGGUGUAAAUUUAGUGCUUCAUGUAAUUUAUAUGUUGCUGAAAAAAGGGAAAUCGAUGUAUCCAGGCAAGUGGACUUGCAAAGCCGCUCUAGAACACUUGCAUGUCCUAGUCCUGUAGGUGGAAUGUCCAACUUGUCAAAGUAGAUUACCUCCUUGGAGGUGCAGGGCUGUUCAUUAUCUGUUUCCAUAACAAAACCCUCAAAAUCAGGCAUUAUUUGAUCAGUACAAAUCACUGAUUGACUGUGAGAACCAGAUGAACAAUAUGACAAGUCCUUUCUGUCCAGAUGAUGUUUCAUGGUGUCUUCAGUAUAAUUCAAAACUUCAGCACCCCCCACCUCUAAUUUAUCUUCAAGUUGAAAUAAAACUUUCUCUUCUGCAGUGUGCUGCCCUGCCACCUCUCCACCAGCCAACUUUUUCAAACUUGAUACUGAAGGUGCUACUUGUUCGAGCAUCAAAUUAAAUGCAGUGCUUGAAGUUCUACCCCUCCCUUCCAAGAUGAUUUCAAUCUCUUCUGCUUGUAGCUUUGAUGAAGACACUUCAUAUUCCUCUAUCUUUUGGUGUUCCGCAUUCCGAUGCAUGUCAUUAAGUGGACCCUUUCCAACAUCUGAUUGCACUACAUCUCCUAUCUUCAAGCUUGGAGAAGCAGAAAGGGCAUUAUUAAGUUGACCCUCUAUCUUUAUUCGCUUAUACUGAGGCCACGAACCCAUGAAGUGGGAAUCUGCAUUUUGAUUUUGGAAAAUGAAUGGGUCCGUCUUCUGCUGCAUAAGGUUAACAGUACUUUCAUCUGCCAAAACAGCACCAUCCUCCUUAUGAGCUUCAAAUGAAACUUUCCAAGGUUUUUCUUUGCUAGAAAAUUCCUGCCCUUCCAACAAUGGCAUCUCAAUAGAUGGGUUAGGCUUGUCUUGGCAGCUAGUAGAUGUUACUUUAUCCAAUAGAUCCACAGAAUGUAGCAUGGUAGAAAGAUGUUUCUCUGGUGUACCUUCUUGUUUAUUCUCUAAUGCACAAUCAAAAGUUUCAAGGAAAUUGCUCUCUUCCACAUCAUCAAAAUUAAGUGGCUUGGGCUUGAUAGGCAUAUCACAUUCACUAGGUGGCCUCAAUUCUAAAUCUUCAACUCCACAUCUACGGCCAUCUGCGUUAGAUUCAGGAGAAACAGAACAAGCCACUACUAGCCCAUCAUAAUCUAUAUCAGUUUCAGCUAGAAUUCUUUUAAUACAAGACAGGACAUUUGGUUGGGAACCGGACAGAACCUGAAGAUUAACUCCUUCUCCUUCAACAAAGCUUGAUUGUUGAGGUAGCCUUGAAGAUUUGCCAAAAGAUUGUGCAAGUCUACUAUCACCAUCUUUUAUAACAUCAGAAGAAAGAUCCACUUUAGGGAGCUCAGUAAUAUUAUAUGGUUUCUCAGUAGAAGAAGAGCUUGUUAAUCUAAAGCAAUAAGCAUCAUUUGAUGCAUCAACAUUCUGGAUGUUCAGCACUUUUGCUUUCAACCUAGGACUUUCGUAAGUGAUACCUAAAGGCUUGACCAAAUCCCUUGAGGCAUCAUCACGGCUGAAUAGCUGCUUUGUUUCGCUAACACUAGCUUCCUUGCCAUUACCACAAGAGUUAUCCAUCUCCAAGCAUUCAUUCACACAAUUAGGUUGUUGGCUGGAACUUCUAGAUCUUGUUAUUCUCCCCACAAAAAUGUUACUUCCAGUUUUCUUGAUCAACCUAUCCCUUGAUUUUGCUUUCCUUGAUCCAUAACUUUCAUUAGAGAUUCCAUAUGAAGGCUUGACCAAUUUCAACAACUCACCAACAGAAUUAGGCUGCUUUGCUGAUUUGUCAACAGACUCCAUAUGUCCACCAUCUUCCUCAGCAACACAAAAUGAGAUAUCUACUUCUAAUGGCUGCUUUGAGGAACUGGCUUGGGAGAUAGAACUCCUAGAUCCUGUAAUUCUAUCAAAGAAAACUGCAUUAUUCAUAUCGUUUACCCCUGCAAUCAACCUCAUUUGCUUCUUCCGCCAUACAAUUUGCCUUAGCAGGAAUAGAAGGAUUGACCAAUUCUGAUAAUGCAUUGACAUGGUUAGGUUUUUGUGUUAAUUAUUUCAUAGAAUUUUUGAGGCCAUCAUCCUUGGCAAAAUGAGAAGAGUUGCCAUCAUUCACAGGCUCAUUCACAGAGGUGAUUUUUGGGCUAGAACUUUGAAAUCUAAUACCUAUACCACUAUCCUUGCCCCCACAUUCACCUAUUUCUGCUUCUUCUUCUUCACAGCCUUCAGUACUUGUAUCAACAGGUUUAACCAACUCUAAUUCAACAACAUGAUCAAACUGUAGGGAAUUAAUCCCAGACCCAAUACCUUGACUAGUAAAAACAAUAGCAUUAUCACAUGAAUGUGAUUUAGUUACUUUGGCGCUGUUGCGAAGCUCUAGAGCCCUUUGCCUGGACUUUGAUCUUUGAAUCUUCACUAAUGAUUGAGCGUGAUCAGGGCAAUUGUCUGAUAUUCUUGCAUCUACACAAUCUUGCGGAGAUGUAACAAUAGAAUCUGGCUCAGGAACACCAGUGAAGUUACAUUGAGUAUCACCAGUAGGAAAUGGAGGCAAAACAGUCAUCCCAUCACCUGCAUUAGUGCCAUGGUUCGAAGCACGAACUCCAGUGCAUGAAGCAUUUGGUAGCCCUUUGUUACCAGCAGCAACAAUGGGCUUCUGGUAUAAAGAGUCGCAAGUACUGAAGUACGGGUUUGCAGGUUGAGGACGUGGAAGUAAGAGUCCUGGUAUAAGCUCCUCUUUCUUCAACUCUUUUGGAUCUGAGGAAAGGGAAGGGAAAGAAGGGGACCAGAGCCAGGAAGGAGGAGCAACUCCGUCGAGGAUACAUUUAGGGGCUAGGUGUUGGUCGAAUAGAUAGAUCUGUUGCUUGACUUGCUCGAUUAUCCUCUUCUUCCUCUCGAAGAUUUGCACGAACAGCUUCUCAAUCGUCGUCAUUUCCCCCCCUUUUCUUCGGUUCAGAAAAUCGCCGCCAUUGAUCGUUCGAUCCGCUGAGUUCUCGAGAAAGGAUGAAAUUUCUGGACAGGGAUAAUAUGGGAGACGGACUGAGUGAGAUUGCGAUAUCGCGAGUUCUUGUUGGACGGC